rnacentral:tRNA from 1 species
GGGGCUUAGGAUAACAUUAGACCAAGGGCCUUCAAAGCCCUAAGUAGGGGUGAAAAUCCCCUAGCCCCU